AUAAAUCCCUGCCAACUUCUCUAUCUUCAUCAUCAUCAUCUUCACCGGCGACGACCAUCGGGCCGGGAAAUGAACUUUCCGGCGACCGAUUCUUCCAAAUCAGCACUCACUCUUCGAAUCUCCGAUCAUCGCCGCCAUGUAUUUCACGAAAAGCUUUGAUCCGAGUUCCAAAUUUCUCGUUGUUCGCUUAGUCACGAAGUUAUCCGCGUCAAUUCCAUGGAAAUUCGGGGAAAGAUGAAGAUUCAACCUAUUGAUAUUGAUCCUCCAACUGGAAGAGGUGCCAUUCGUGCUGAUCCUGGCAAACCAGUACUGAAAUCGCGUCUGAGAAAGCUAUUUGAUCGGCCGUUUCCGAAUGUUCUAAAGAAUUCUACUGCGGAAAAGCCAAUCGCGGCUGGGGAAGCUGCACAGUUCAUCAUCAACAAAGAUGGAGUCUCUGAGUUCGAGCCGAGCUCCAUUUGUUUGGCUAAAAUGGUGCAGAGUUUUAUAGAGGAGAGUAACGAGAAACAGUUGUCGGUGGCCACUGCUGGGAAGAAUGGUCGCAACCGCUGCAAUUGCUUCAACGGGAACAAUAAUGAAAGUUCUGAUGAUGAGUCCGAUGACUUCGGCGGUGGUUUUGGUGAACCUGUAACAAUCGGAUCAUCUAGUGCCGAUGUUUCUGACUUACUCAAGAGUCUGAUACUUUGCGCCAGCGUAGCUGAAAGAAACCUCUUAGCCGACACCGCAAAGAUUGUUGAGAAGAACAACAAAAUUCACAAAAGGAAAGACGAUUUGAGAAAAGUUGUCACAGAUGGUCUUUCAUCUCUCGGUUACGACUCUUCAAUCUGUAAAUCGAAAUGGGACAAAUCCCCCUCGCAUCCUGCAGGGGAAUAUGAAUACAUCGAUGUGAUGGUGGAGGGCGAGAGAUUGGUGAUAGACAUAGAUUUCAGAUCGGAGUUUGAGAUCGCUCGUUCUACCGGAAUGUACAAGGCGAUUCUCCAAUUACUCCCGAAUAUCUUCGUCGGCAAAACGGAUCGUCUAGGUCAAAUCGUAUCGAUUGUAUCAGAGGCUGCGAGACAGAGCUUGAAGAAGAAGGGGAUGCACUUUCCGCCAUGGAGGAAAGCUGAAUACAUGAGAGCUAAAUGGCUUUCCCCUCACGACAGAUCCAAACCUCCAAAUCCAUCGGUAAAGGAGAUCGAAAUCACGAACAUGAAUCAAAACGAGCAAUCGCCGACAGAGACGGAUUGCGGAGAACUCGAAUUGAUAUUCGGCGACGAAACGACGACAACGACAUCACCUAAGAGUAAUUCAAUCGCUUCAUCUCCUCCCCCUCCGCAGAAGGGUUUGUAUGGCGGCGAGAAGGCGGCGGUGGCAGUGACGGCCUGGCAACCUCCGGCGAUCAAACCGAAGAGUCUCGAUAGAGGAGCUAAGAUCGUUACGGGAUUGGCAUCAAUCCUGAAGGAGAAUCCGUAAA
rnacentral:misc_RNA from 1 species